AGAAAGUAUUAGGCCCAGAGAGGAGGAAGCGGGAGCGUGCAGAGGGCAAAGAGGUUGCUGGAGACAUGGGGACUCUGCUGAGAGCCUGCUCCCAAAAAAGAACCCAGAUUCAAAUCCCUGCUCAGGAGUGAAAUUCAGGUGGUGUCCUGGGCCCAGUGACAGUGUCGUGGUGAAGACAAAAGGAGGGGGACAAAUCAUGGUGAGCUCAUUAGAGGAAGACCUGCAUAGAAAUAUAAAAAUAUAAUAAAAUGU